UUCCCUUUGGCUAGAGAGGAGAGACUCCGCUGAAACCGAGACAGAGCCAGCUCUCCCAGCAAAAUCUACACGAAACGACAUACAAAGAGAAGCCAGAAAAGACAACUCUGCAGUCACCACCAACCUGAAGUCGUUCCCUAUGAAAAGGUCUAUUACACUUUUUCAAUCAGAUUUUGAAGCUCCCAAUUGGAACUGAGCAGAGAGAUAAAGCAUCAUUUGAAAAUCUAGACCUUCCAGUGAAGACAAUAGGGACAGAGAAAUAAGGAUGGCUAAAAAGGUUUUGUGGUGAUCUUACAGAAAACUCCACUGUGCCCAGUGGAAGAGUCCAUUCUGCAACAGACGUGCAAUAGAAACAGCAAAGAACCAAACAACAGGGAGAAAACACGUGUCCCAAAAUUCCUACGGGAAGGUUUCUGUUUGUAUCACUUACACGAGCACUUCAGAGUUGCAGGAAGGUACCGCGCACAGGACUGAGCGCUGAGAUGAGUCAGGAGCAGCUGCUGUCCUCAUCAUCCUCAGCGCCUCAUCUCAUUAUGCAGCUCAGCCUGACGGAACGCCGGUGGGUGAACAUUGCAGGAGCAGGGAGCAAUCCGGGACAACUGCCCCAUCACUGAAGUAUCCGGGUAUGCAGGAGAAAGAUGAGUUCAUAGUACAUUAGAGAUCAAAUGAGAUAAAGAACGGAGCCUGUAAAAAUAACAAGCUGCUCAGGAGCAUUUCUUAGCUCUGAGUAAAACUAGUGGGUGCCUGAAACACGGUCAGUUUGAACAAGGAGAGCAAAGGUAUGCUGCUACAUCCCCUACCAUGGUAGGAAAGCAGGGCGUUGAAGACAAUCUUUAUAGCUUGACUUUCAUUAAGAUUAUAAUGAAUCUUCCACUUCUGUGUCCAGGUGGGUCAGCUUUCGAAACUGGAACUCAAGUGGUAUGGCUGGAGGGGCUCAACAUCCAAACAUAUUCCGUCAGAGCUGGCCAGUUUCAAGUUUUCAUUUUGUGUGAAAUUCCAAAUUUUAAAAUUUCCUUUCAGUGCUAAUUGAACCAAAAAUAUCAGAAUUUUUAAACCCUCUGAAAUGUUUUGGUGGUUUUUUGGCUGUGGUUUUGUUUUGUUUUGUUUUUUACUGGG